UGGCAAUCUGAAGAAUGGCCAGGAGAUGGGGAGCAGGAAGGUCUGCAAGAGGAUGGCUAAAGGGAUCAGGGCAGGAAAUACUAAGAGGUGCAUGGACGUUCCUUCAAGGCCUUUCCUCCUGUUUCCGUUGCAGAACUGCAGGUGCCGUAGGGGAAGGAGUUCAUCCCCUCGCCCGAGCAACUCGCGAGGGAUGAAUUCUUCCUCUUCUCCCUGCCAGGAAGCCUGGGGGAGGGACCAGGACACACUCCCCUUUUCCAAGGAUGCUGCGGCCCAUGUGGUUGGGGACAUCCUUGACAGAUUCCAAAAAUUCCUGGACCCCCGAAAAUUGUCAAAAUGGCCCUAGAGGCGGUUUAUGAAGUCAGCUUCAUGAACCCCCCGUUUGAGGAGCACCAGAGGGCCGCCCUAAUAAAUGUGUCCAUCCAGAGGACUCCAGAUAGAAGAAUUGGAAAACGAUCAUGUCCAUACCCAGAGACGAGUUCCCAGAGAUGUUCCUCUUCUCAGACCCAGAUUUUAUGGGCAGCGAUGAUGGAGGGACCAUAGUGUGGGGUUUAUGUUUCUGUGGGUUUUAUUGAAGUUUUGUUGUUUGUUGUCACUUUUAUCA